ACGGGAGGCAGCAGUGAGGAAUAUUGGUCAAUGGUCGGAAGACUGAACCAGCCAUGCCGCGUGCAGGAAUAAGGCCCUAUGGGUCGUAAACUGCUUUUGUGGUGGAGCAAUAAGGCGUACGUGUACGUCGAUGAGAGUACAUCACGAAUAAGCAUCGGCUAACUCCGUGCCAGCAGCCGCGGUAAUACGGAGGAUGCAAGCGUUAUCCGGAUUUAUUGGGUUUAAAGGGUGCGUAGGCUGUGUGGCAAGUCAGCGGUGAAAUGCCGGAGCUCAACUCCGGAACUGCCGUUGAUACUGUCAUGCUGGAAUACGGAUGCCGUGGGAGGAAUGAGUAGUGUAGCGGUGAAAUGCAUAGAUAUUACUCAGAACACCGAUUGCGUAGGCAGCUUACCAGACCGACAAUGACGCUCAUGCACGAAAGUGCGGGGAUCGAACAGGAUUAGAUACCCUGGUA
rnacentral:rRNA from 1 species